CAGUCGCCGCGGUAAUACGUAGGUGGCAAGCGUUGUCCGGAAUUAUUGGGCGUAAAGGGCUCGCAGGCGGUUCCUUAAGUCUGAUGUGAAAGCCCCCGGCUCAACCGGGGAGGGUCAUUGGAAACUGGGAAACUUGAGUGCAGAAGAGGAGAGUGGAAUUCCACGUGUAGCGGUGAAAUGCGUAGAGAUGUGGAGGAACACCAGUGGCGAAGGCGACUCUCUGGUCUGUAACUGACGCUGAGGAGCGAAAGCGUGGGGAGCGAACAGGAUUAGAUACCCCUGUAGUCCUGUCUCUUAUACA
rnacentral:rRNA from 1 species